rnacentral:rRNA from 1 species
GAGUUUGAUCCUGGCUCAGGAUGAACGCUAGCGGCAGGCUUAAUACAUGCAAGUCGAGGGGUUUUAGCAAUAGGACACCGGCGCACGGGCGCGUAACGCGUAUGCAACCUACCUUUAUUUGGGGGAUAGCCCGAGGAAACUCGGAUUAAUACCGCAUAAGAAAGUGAUCUGGCAUCAGGUAGCUUUUAAAGAUUUAUCGAAUAAAGAUGGGCAUGCGUAAGAUUAGAUAGUUGGCGAGGUAACGGCUCACCAAGUCUACGAUCUUUAGGGGCUCUGAGAGGAGAAUCCCCCACACUGGCACUGAGAUACGGGCCAGACUCCUACGGGAGGCAGCAGUAGGGAAUAUUGGGCAAUGGGCGCAAGCCUGACCCAGCCAUGCCGCGUGCAGGAAGAAGGCCCUCUGGGUUGUAAACUGCUUUUGACUGGGAAGAAAAAGACUCUUGCGAGGGUUGUUGACGGUACCAGCAGAAUAAGCCACGGCUAACUACGUGCCAGCAGCCGCGGUAAUACGUAGGUGGCGAGCGUUAUCCGGGAUUUAUUGGGUUUAAAGGGUGCGUAGGCGGCUUAAUAAGUCAGUGGUUAAAGGUAGCAGCUUAACUGUUUUACAUGCCACUGAUACUGUUGAGCUUGAGUUGACAGAACGCAGAUAGAAUUUCUGGUGUAGCGGUGAAAUGCUUAGAUACCAGAAGAAUACCGAUUGCGAAGCAGUCUGCUGCAGUCACACUGACGCUGAGCACGAGUGCGGGAUCAACAGAUUAGAUACCCUGGUAGUCCGCACAGUA